AGCGAACGCUGGCGGCAGGCCUAACACAUGCAAGUCGAACGAAGCCUUCGGGCUUAGUGGCGGACGGGUGAGUAACACGUGGGAACGUACCUUUUGGUUCGGAAUAACGCAGAGAAAUUUGCGCUAAUACCGAAUGAGCCCUUCGGGGGAAAGAUUUAUCGCCGAAAGAUCGGCACGCGUUGGAUUAGGUAGUUGGUGUGGUAAAGGCGCACCAAACCUAAGAUCCAUAGCUGGUCAGAGAGGAUGAUCAGCCACACUGGGACUGAGACACGGCCGAGACUCCUACGAGAGGCAGCAGUGGGGAAUCUUGCGCAAUGGGCGAAAGCCUGACGCAGCCAUGCCGCGUGAAUGAUGAAGGUCUUAGGAUUGUAAAAUUCUUUUACCAGGGAAGAUAAUGACGGUACCUGGAGAAAAAGCCCCGACUAACUUCGUGCCAGCCGCCGCCGUAACAC
rnacentral:rRNA from 1 species